rnacentral:misc_RNA from 1 species
AAGUCGUAACAAGGUUUCCGUAGGUGAACCUGCGGAAGGAUCAUUAACGUAUCUCCGAUGGAGAGUGGUGCACCCUGCUCCGGUCCAACCGGCCGUGCAGCGGGUGGGCCGCUCCCGUCGAACAACUCACAAACCCCACUGUGAACCUUCACGGCGGAGGGGGCUUGGUCCGUCAGGGCCGCGUCCCCAAUGCCGCAUUAACACAAACCCCAGUCAAAAGAAUGUCGUGCGGACACUGUGCCGCCUAAAACACAUAACAACUUUCAACAACGGAUCUCUUGGCUCUC